rnacentral:rRNA from 1 species
AGCAGCCGCGGUAAUUCCAGCUCCAAUAGCGUAUAUUAAAGUUGUUGCAGUUAAAAAGCUCGUAGUUGAAUUUCGAGAUCAAUUUGUCGGUCGUGCCUCGGUACGUACUGGCAUUAUUGAUUUCUCCCUUCUGAAGAACCGCGAUGUCAUUAAUUUGGUGUCGUGGGGAAUCAGGACUGUUACUUUGAAAAAAUUUAGAGUGUUUAAAGCAGGCUUACGCUUGAAUACAUUAGCAUGGAAUAAUGAAAUAGGACGUUUGAUUCUAUUUUGUUGGUUUCUAGGAUUGACGUAAUGAUUAAUAGGGAUAGUUGGGGGCAUUAGUAUUCAAUUGUCAGAGGUGAAAUUCUUGGAUUUAUUGAAGACUAACUACUGCGAAAGCAUUUGCCAAGGAUGUUUUCAUUAAUCAAGAACGAAAGUUAGGGGAUCGAAGACGAUCAGAUACCGUCGUAGUCUUAACCAUAAACUAUGCCGACUAGGGAUCGGAUGAUGUUAAUUUUUAAUGACUCAUUCGGCGCCUUAA